GAAACCUUUACACUGCACGCACGUGCGAUAAGGGGACUCCGAGUGCGAGGGCAUAUCGUCCUCGCUUUCGUGUACCGUAGGGUGGUACACCAACAAGGGCUGGGCAAGACCGGUGCCAGCCGCCGCGGUAAUACCGGCAGCCCGAGUGAUGGCCGAUCUUAUUGGGCCUAAAGCGUCCGUAGCUGGCUGCGCAAGUCCGUCGGGAAAUCCACUCGCCCAACGAGUGGGCGUCCGACGGAAACUGCACAGCUUGGGACCGGAAGGCUCGAAGGGUACGUUCGGGGUAGGAGUGAAAUCCCAUAAUCCCGCACGGACCACCGAUGGCGAAAGCACUUCGAGAAAACGGAUCCGACAGUGAGGGACGAAAGCCAGGGUCUCCAACCGGAUUAGAUACCCGGGUAGUCCUGGCCGUAAACAAUGUUCGCUAGGUAUGACACAGCACUACGCGUCUCUGUUGUGCCGUAGGAAGCCGAGAAGCGA
rnacentral:rRNA from 1 species